rfam:Stegodyphus mimosarum contig119237, whole genome shotgun sequence.
GCCUUUGUGGUGUAGUGGUCAGCACGCUCGGCGCGUAUUCGAGAAGUCCGUGGUUCGAAUCCCGGCGAUAGCA